UGUUCGGUCUUCGUGAACCCCACUCGGUCCAUCGAGGAGUGGAAGAAAGCUUCUCCGUCGCGAGACGGGCAUGGCGUCCGCCUUCGAGUGGGAUCGGCUCCCCCACGACCUCCAACGCUCUAUCCUUCUCCGCCUUCCCAUCUCCACGCUCCUACUCUGCAAGUCCCUCUCGCGAUCCUUCCUCGACACCAUCCGCUCCCCCACGUUCCUCGACGCCUACUCCUCCCUCCGCCGCGGGCGUCGCUUCCGCCACCGCGACGACCUGUUCCUCCUCCUCUUCGCCGACUGCAGUCGCCACGGCCUGGCCGCUGCUUACCUCCCCUCCCGCGCCUGCUGGCUUCCCCUCCCCCUCCCCCCUUUGCUUAACCACAUCCACGCCUCCGACGGCAGCCUCGUCGUCGCCGCCACCGGGAAGAACUCUGGCGAAGAUGUCGUCUGCGAUCUCUUUUCCCGUACCGUAAUCCCGAUCCUUCCCCGGAUGCCCCAUUCCUACAUCCUCGCUCUGAUUGCCGACGAGGCCUCGUCCGAUUUCAGGAUCGUGGCCGUCGGCAGCCAGAAGCCCGUUGGGAACGCCCUUAAUGCCGUCUACGUUUCCUCCCAGGUUUACGAUUCCCGUUCUGGCCGAUGGCAGCCCAAGGGGCAGCUGCCGGGGCACUACGCCAUGCUCGGCAAUGCGGUUUUCCUGGAUGGCUUGUUGUUCGUGCUCGGCCGCCUCCCUGAUCAUCUACUCACAUUCGAUCUGGACAGCGGGGAAUGGAGCGUCGUAGAUGUUGCUCUGCCGCCUCCUGUGUUUUGCUUGCAUUUGUUGGUAUUCGAGGGGAGACUGUUCUUGGUUGGAGGUCUGGAAGAGGACGUGGUAAUUGCGAGAAUUGGAAUUUGGGAGCUCGAUUUAACUAAAUCGGAGAAGGAAUGGCGACUCUUCUGCUUUAUGCCUGAUGAGUAUUUUCAGGAAUUCAGCGUCAAUGAGCUUGUUCAUUUUCAGACCAUCGACCGAUUUGGGAUUGUUUGUUUUUGCAACACCAGAGAGUCUGUUGUUUUAGUGUGUGAUCUAUCAUCGAAAACAUGGUGGUGGCCGCCUACAUUUGGGGUGAUUCCUAAGCGCAGAAGAUCUUGGCUCGGGCAUGCUUUGGAUCUACCUAUGGGAUUGCUGAAGUGAUUAAUAGAAGGUUCAACUCUACAGUACGACCGCUCACCGCGCUGGGCAAAAUAGCCCCAAAAUGGCUCCGUUUUUACGUGUCACGGCCUAUUUUCUAUAAACCGUUGCUGCACGCGAAAUGUCAGCCAUCUCAGCACCUUGGAACCACUCGGGUGGCACCAUGGGGGAUGGGGCUUCGGUAUAGUGUCGGGCGUUGAACAAUCUUUACAAGUUCGCAUGUUAACUUGACGAGAACUUGCCUUCGGCCUCGGCACCCGGUCCUUCGGGAAUUGAGUAAGGUUGCAAAUUGGCUGACCCUUUGCAGACGCAUAUCGCAAGGGUGCUUCACGACUUAGGCAACUCAAACUAAGUCUAUGAUUUUGUCGCAAGGAUGCCUCACGACUUAGGCAAUUCCAGCUAAGUUUGUGACACCAAGCUGUAAUUAUCAUAAAGAUUUCAGAAUUGUUUUUCUUCUAUAGCAAACCCUUUGAGUGGUAUGAGUUAAACUAGCUACUAAGCUAUUCUGCUUGUUGCCUGACUGAGAUGUGUUUAAAAGAAUAUCCUCAAUAAAGAUUAUAUGUUAUUGCUCUCAACUGCAGCUUUUAUUUGCAAGUAAAACUUCUCUUCGAGUUUCCAAAGUAGUAUUAAUAAUUUAAAAUUUCCAUUAUUUCCUAUGAAAAAUGACAUUUCUGGACUGCUCAUUGUUCUCUUUCUCUAUAUUGUUUCCCUGCUAUCUUCCUGAAGUUUAAAUUUAGUCUCUGCUGUUGUAGGAUCAAUGUAACAAGAAAUGUAGGAUCACAUUUAGUAUACAUAAAGGUUUCAUAAGUUGAACAUUCCAAGUCUUUGGAAAGUUUGACUUAUUUAUAUUUAGGUAAUUACAAGUCAUAUUUCCAAUUUUCCAUGCGAAGUGCCACAACUUCAUUGCAUCAACUUAGCUAAAUAAAAAACAUUAAAAAAUCUUCAAGAGCAAUAUUUGUACCUUGACAUUAAAGAGGUUAAGUGUCUCUCGUUUUAGCCUUACCAGCAGCCUUAAGUCUAAUGUUCUUGGAACAUGAAAUUGAACUUGUAACGCUGCCUGCGAGAAUAUUUCCAUAUUGAAUUUUCAUGUAAUGCAGUUCUUCCUUUUUUUAUUUUUGGGUCAGAACAUCUUCGAUGCAUUGCAGGAUAUCUAGGGGUUAAAGUUGUUUCUAUUUGUUUUCCUCUCGUAUUUGUUAGUUUUCUUUCAGUAACUAUGCGUAAGUGCAACUAGAACCAGAGCCUGGAAAUGUCAUGUGUUUAGAAAUUAAUUCCCAUGAGAUCAGUCCAUUCAGGUUUCCUAGUUCGUUUCAUAACUAAAGCAUCAAAUUCACAUGCCAAGUAGAAUUUUUGCUAAAUAUCAUUUUAGAUAUGGCUUGAGCAGGUUAAUCCUUGUUGAUAUGCAUUUAAAGUGCUUAUUGUCUGAUCUGACGUUAUUCAUGGGAUCAUUCCCUAAUCAUUUUUUUUCGUUCUCAUCAUUUUAGUCUACUUGUGCUCCAAGGCCAUGUUCCAUUUUGUACAUUACCUGGGUCCAUUCUCUCAUUCAUUAUUAAUAAAACUGUAUUUGCUUUUUGACUUAAUCACUGCUUUCAUUAUUAUUUUAUUUGCAGCCCCAAAAGUUUAGCCAUCCGAUUUACAUGUUUUCAUGUCACAUAUAUUUCAGGGUACAUAUGGUCAGAAUUCAAGCAUUUUUCUUUCUGCCAUUGAGGUGUGCUGACAAUGCUCAAAGUUGGUGCAGAGGAACAGAGUGGAAUUUGUAGAGGGGAUGGUGAAAUGUUCACUUGCUGCAAUCACCAUAUGAAAAGCAACUUGUGGCUUGAUUUCCAGCAACUAAAUGACAUUUAUUUCCACAAAACCGAGGAAUAUUCUUACAUAGCAAUGAACAAGUUUAGUGUGAUACUAAUUCAGAUCCAGAUUGAGUUUUAUAUAUGGUACCUACUCUCUGGGUUCAUUUUCAGA